UCUGUAAAGAAAAAAAAAAAAAUGUAUAAAACCUCCCCAAAAGUAAAAGAUCAGCAUUCUGAAGACAAAUCAAACUGCCACCCUCUGAGACAAUUUCCUAAAUAUGGAGAUGUCACCAGAAAAUCCUGAUCACUUUCAGUAAAUAGCAAGUAUUCUGCUACUGUCACCAUGCAUUUAUAUAGCACUUCCUUGAAGGAAUGAACAUAUUUCACAGCCCUCACUUUAUGGACCAGAGGACAGUGAAAUCCCCCAACCCCCAAACUUGCUUGCCCUCACAAUGUCAGCCUGUGUACUCUGUAUCCUUGAUCCUUGGGCCCACAAUGUUCAGCCUGAGUUUACUGUCGUGUCUUUUUCCAGUCCUUUCCUCUGCUGGAAGUCCUAGUGAUUGCUAGAAUAACAAGGUAAGAAAAGCAAAUCAAGAAGAAACAAACAGAAUAUUCUAUUUCUGAGAAACCAAAAGUGGAUUGUAACUGUAUCCAUCUUUACAUCAUCCCAAGAGGUGACUGAGUGGUUUUCAAAAUGAGGAAGAACACAGGUACACGUGACCCACUUAGACCACAUAACCAGUGGAGGGAACAGCAGUUUCUACGUCUUCUGAACCAAGCAAGCUAGGCUCAGCUGGCCCUGCCUGUCAUCCUGCUCCAUGAAAGCAAUAAGCUGGGUUGACUCAUCAAGGAAUCUUAUUUGAAGAAGACUCUACUGUCUCUCCCCCCGCCCCCACCCCCGCCUGGACCGUCAACUCCAUGAGUCAGGGGCCAUGCUGUCCUGUUCACUCUGUAACUAGAGCUAAGUCAGUGCUGGGCCAUGGCAGCUACUUGCCAAUGCUGCUAUUCUGCUCAUGCUAAAACAGGGCAGAGGCCACCUCAGCAGCCAACGCUUGACUACAGAUAAAAGCAAAAGCAGGCAGCAUGAAGAGGAAGGUCUGCUUAACUUAUGGAAAAGUAUUCAAACCUCCACAAUGCUACACAAAUCGCUGGGGAAGUAGAAACCGCUAUCCAGCCCAAAUCAGUGCUGUGAUGAAGCCUCUCCAAGCUGAAACUGUACUCCACUGGGGAGUCCAUGGUUUCCGCACAUAAUCGGAAAUGCACAUGAAAAUCUGUGAUCGUGACCUGGUGAGCUACAGACAGAGGGCUGAAGAACAAUCGAUCAAUAAAAAGUGACAUAUGGGUGUCUGCUUUGGUUCUUCAGAUCAGAAGCCGGCUUUUCAGGAAAAACACACACAAAAAAACAAACACAAAAUAUUCUAGGUAACAUCUUCUUAGUUUUUCUGUGAGACAGGCAAAUACUAAGCCUGACACAAAUCUCAGAAGUCUGUAGUGAAUGUGGCAUCUGGUUUUCUCAGAAAAACAGUGGGCCAGUAAUUCCCUUAUAUAAGAACUGUAUUAAGAGCAAGGCAGAAAGGCCACUGCAUUAGGGGACUCAUAAGGUCCUUUUCAAAGGCAACAAGCAAGCCUUCAACUCAUCACUACUCUCUCCAUCAGGCAGAGCUAAACUUCAUGACACAGUGCGCCAGGUCUCCUGGCCAACUGUCCCUUCAGAGAUCGCUAAAGCAGCAGGAACAACUGGUCCUGUCUUUUGGAUAAUACCAGCCUGUCUUUACAGCUCUGUGCCGGGAAGCAUCCUUUUCACAUUUUAAUCAAAUUUCCCAAAGCAUUCAAUUACACCAGAACUAAUGCCAGGUCAGCUCUUAGACACUAGCGGGAACCCUCCACUGUUAAUGGGCCUGUCAGCUGGUCAAUGCUGGUGUGAGGCAAAGCAGGGGAUCAAUCGCCCGCCUCAUUGCCAGCUCUAGGAAGGAACUCCGAUUUACCCUUGCAUCAGGCCCUGGAAGGAAUGUGCCCCAAAGCUGUGUGUUACAUUCUGCCUUCAGAAAUGAUAAAAUGUCAGAACAUCCAGUUGGAAUAAGAUGAAGGCUGAUUCUCAACUGCCACACCCAGGGAACCUGAUGACAGACAGGACUAUAUUUAGAAGUUGGAUGAAACCAGAUAAAGACAGCUGCCCAGCAGCAGAUUCAGAGAAGAAAGCCCACAAAGUAAAAUUUGAGGAACAGCUGGUUAUGUGGCUGGAUGACCCGGCAGCAAGGCGACCCCAGAUUAGCAGUUCCAAGCAGUUAAAAGGCUCUCAGGAGUAUUUCUAGAAGACUCGGGAGACACGGAGAUCAGCAGACAGACACAUAGCUGCUGCUAGUGAUAUUAAUAAUAAUUAAUAAUAAUAAUACAUUUUAACAGCAAUAAUAGGUGUCAGGCACUGUUUUAGGUGCUUUACAUUAACUCGUUUAAUUCCAACAAUGACACUACGAGGCAAGUAGCAGAAUUCUCUUUUACAAAUGGGGACACUGAAGCACUAACUUGUUAGCCAGAGGUCACACAGCAUGAAAGUGGUAGAGUUGGGAUUUCAACAUCCAUGCUCCACUGCCUCUGAUGAAGGAAAAGGCAUGUCCUUGCCUUCCUGGGGACUGAGACCGAGCACCAGUGCUAGGCACAAUGUGAAGCAACUUGUUCAUCAAAAGAAUGAUCUUUCCCACCACUUCCAUUGUUUUAUUUGAUACCAGCCAGCUGUUUAAGGUUCUUAACAUAUUAAGAAUGUUACAAAGGCCCUUGGCAAUUAGCUUAGAAAAUGGGAAGUUCACGUUCUGCCUUUGCCAGUGUAUGACCACGUGGCACUCUCUGCUGUGGCAUGAAGCACACCUGUUCCCAGAUCACAGAGGAAGACAGUGUCUCCCACUCCACAGCAGCCAGAGCUCCCCCAACUUCUCUUCUGCAUCCCCUCCUCACCCUCUCCUGAGAGAAGUUACAGUGAGUACAUCCAAACAAAGACAAUGUCCAAUUCUGAAAUACCUCCCCACAUUACAAAAUAAAUUCCAUUAUCACUCCUAUAGUUUUGAUAUUAAGUGUAUUGUACGUAAUUGCAUUCUAACUCCUUUACUAUGGGUAAAAAAACCUCAUUUGUGGGUUUAUACCUAACUGGGCAGAUCGUGCCUAUAGUGGGAGUGGCAGAUUGUACAGGAUGCCCCACUUCUAGGGACCGAGCAACAGUGGCUUCAACUGGGCGAGGCUCUCGCAUGGCGGAUGUAUCAUUUUGUGGAGGUGCAAACAUGAAGUGCAUCGACCAUUUGGCAGGGGUGUUGGGAUGAGCAGCCGCUGAGCAUUUCUGGAGAUACCUAGCAUGUACAUAUCCAUGGGGGCUCUGCAGUUCCCUCAUUUCCCUGUGAAUCUGGCCAUUCUUACAACGUGAGAAAAACAGAACACACCCACCAACUCUGUGAAGAAUGGCCCAGGAAAUAACACGUUAGUGUUGGGAUGGAAAUGGAAAUUAGGUAAGGGGACAGAGUGGUGGUUCCAGGGCAGGAAGCAGAAGUCAUGGCCAGAUUAAGGACUGCAAUGUACAGUGGGGCGGCGACUUGGAUCUGUGCUGUGAAUGAAUCCACCCUCUGCUUUUCAUGGAAACAAGAACUGACUGCAGACAUCUUUCAGCGAGUGAACAGAAAAGAAAAAAAACUCAUCCUGGAGUCUUCAGUGGGGAAAAACAAAAGGCAGUCAAUUGGUGGUGUGAGGUUGGCUUAGGGGAUACCAUUUUCCACGUGAGUAUGUAAGAAGGAAGCCAGAAUCCUGAAUUAUCAUUGCCACUUUCAAGAAUAUAGGGAUCUCUGCCGAAACCGGUUUGGCUCAGUGGAU